CUCUAAAAGAUGUUGUUUCCGUGAAGGUGUUGCUCUUUGUUUCCUACAGAGAUUUGUUGAGGCAGCCAAUGCCUUUUUACGAAGGAGUAAAGCAAAGAGAUCAGUGAUGAGUUCAGAGAAGUUGUAGAUGCUCAAAAGGAAGUUUCCCGGCAAGGAAAAGAUUAAGGCCAAACCAUAAGAUCUUCUAGAGAAGACUCUUUUUAGUAUAUGUAUGAAGUUUUGAUAUUGCUUCUUACCUUAGUCUCUCCCAUGACAUUGUUGCCUAUCUUUACUUACACGUACUAAAAACUUCAGGCAUAAAGUUUUGUUUGUGCUCUGAUUUUGUCAUUGUGUUUGGAUUUACAAUUUUGAUUUUUAAAAAUUGUAAACAAUGAUUUUAUUUGUUAUACUUAACAUUUUUUUUUGCCACCAAAAAUCUAAUCUACUAAAUCGCUUUUAUC